AUACAGAAUUUGUUAAGACCUGCUCAGAUUUGGAUAGUGGACAAGAAGUCAUGCGACAUCUCCAAACCAGACUGAAUCCUGAAUCAUUAAUUUUGCACUUGACAUUGCUAAAAGAAAGAUUUUUUUGAAGCAAAACCUUCUCUGAUGUCUGAAUAUGCCCUGAAGAUGCUUUGGCACCAGAGCCAUAAAUUCAAGACAAAAAGACAUCCAGAAUAAAUGAUCUUAUGUAAUAACAAACCUGACAGAUCUUCAUAAUUGAUCACAGUUCCUGACAUAUGAAGGGCACAGGAUGCAAACAGAACAAAGCAGUGCCUUCAGCUUGCCUUUGUCAUGGACUUUGCCCCCAGCCAAUUGGAAUGACCACGCUCAGACUCAGCAGGGGUAGAAAUGGAUCCUCGCCAGAGAGCCAGUUGGAGCUGGACUUCCUCAGAGCAGUGGAUGUGCACUCAGAGUCCUCCCUUUGGAUCAGAACACAGGAAACUGCUGGAGCCUGAGCAAGGCCUCGCCUCUUUGGCAGGAGAUGAAUUCCCUUCUCCUUGGGGUUUCCAAGUUAUGCUUCAAGAUGAAAAACUCAUUGUUGGCCCCUGCUGAAGCCCAGCAGAACACCUAAGGGGCAGAGCCAUUAACUUCCCGCAGGCAACACAAUACAGAAGCUGUAAAGAGCUACUUGCAUCUGCGACACUUGCAGUGCAAGCCUGAGAGCCAACACGGCCCUGCUACUGCUCUGUCCCUGUCUGCUGUGGGAAGCAUGUGUUAAGUUUUAAGCUGCAAGGUGAAGAACUCCAGAAUGUGAUACACAUUGAAGGACACAUUCCAGCCUGUCCUGGGCCUGGAUUCGCUCUGAAGAGCAGCAGGAGAUGAGGAAUACCUGUGGUAGUGGUGAACAGUGUGCAGGAAGUAGCCAGGAAGAUCAGCUUGAUUUGGCUGAAAGUCCUACAGCAGUGGCUGGAGAGGAAUGUAAGGGAUGUUCUAGCAGCAGCAUCUCCUUAUUUCAGAGCAUUUUGACAGCAAGAGCAUUUAUUACCUUGUCAGAAGUUCACAUCUCUGCAGUCCCUGGUAACUGCCAUACUAACAGUUUACACAGAACCACAGGAUUCAAUACAUAGUACUACAAAGAACACCAAUAUUUGAAGGAUUCAAAUCCAUUGCUUUCCUCUUGUGGUAGCUUAGUUAGGACUCGGCCCUCAGCACACCUCAUUUUUUAUUCAUUCCACUCUAUCCCAGCUUCCUUACUAAGUCCUUCCCUUCUACUCUUCUCUCGGACCUUAGCAAUGCUCAGUGUUUGCUUACGAAACAGUCAAGAUAAAGUUCCUCAGUGCAUUUUGAGAUCUUAUCUACGUGGAGCUGCCUUUGAAAUGUUCUGCAGUGUCCAGACAGUGACCUAGGGGCAACACUUUUUCUCCUAAUCACAAUGAGCUCGCUGUUAACAUGUUCUUUGCCCAGCGUUUCUUGGUGUGCCCCGGUAAGCCUUUCAUGACAUGUGUGUACAGUGCCGUACACAAUGGGAGCCCAGUGAGUCGGCAGGGCUGGGCUUCCACUACAAUGGAAGCAACAAUGUUAAUUUCUUUUAUUGAUGCUUUUGAAUAGGAUUUGCUGAAAAUUAAAGGAAAUAUGGGAUAUGGCUCAUGUUACUGUAAAACCACAUGCAGUGAAAUGUUCAUCUGUCUCCAACAUUUCAUGUCUUCUGGGCAUCCAAGGUAGUUGAGUUUGAUUUACACAAUCAAGCCAUUCAUUAAAUAUGUUUGAGUUUCAGGCAGAUGCAUCCUUUACCUGAGUGAUGAAAUCUGACUACAGGAAAUGGAGCUAUUCCUUUGUGAAAAGAUCCCAUUCUGCUUUAUAAAGUGAGCCUUGCAGCAAUAUACUUCUAGAAAACUGCCAAGCUUUGUAUAUCAAAUAUCGUUGUAAGGGCUCGGCAAUAAAACAGUUGUGGACUUGG